rnacentral:rRNA from 1 species
UAACAAUUGGAGGGCAAGUCUGGUGCCAGCAGCCGCGGUAAUUUCAGCUCCAAUAGCGUAUAUUAAACUUGUUGCAGUUAAAAAGCACGUAGUUGAAUUUUUGCGUCACCGUGUAUCGACAUUUGUCGUUUAUCGGUUUCGCUUUUGGGAUUUAUCCCUUUUUACUUUGAGAAAAUUAGAGUGUUUCAAGCAGACUUUUGUCUUGAAUACUUCAGCAUGGAAUAAUAGAGUAGGACUUUGGUUCUAUUUUGUUGGUUUGUGAACCUUAGUAAUGGUUAAUAGGAACGGUUGGGGGCAUUCGUAUUUAACUGUCAGAGGUGAAAUUCUUAGAUUUGUUAAAGACGAACUACUGCGAAAGCAUUUGCCAAGGACGUUUUCAUUAAUCAAGAACGAAAGUUAGGGGAUCGAAGACGAUCAGAUACCGUCGUAGUCCUAACCAUAAACUAUGCCGACUAGGGAUUGGAGGUCGUCAUUUUUCCGACUCCUUCAACACCUU